UGGCAAUAUCAUGCUGAAACAUCAGUUCCUGUAUGAUCAUCAAAAUUAAGCAAUAUUGAGCCUGGUCAGUACCUAGAUGGGUGACAGCUUGGGAAUAACAUGUGCUGUAAG